GUCCAGACUCCUACGGGAGGCAGCAGUGGGGGAUAUUGCACAAUGGGGGGAACCCUGAUGCAGCGACGCCGCGUGGGUGAAGGAGUGCUUCGGCAUGUAAAGCCCUAUCGGCAGGGAAGAAGCAAGACGGUACCUGACUAAGAAGCCCCGGCUAACUACGUGCCAGCAGCCGCGGUAAUACGUAGGGGGCGAGCGUUAUCCGGAUUCACUGGGUGUAAAGGGAGCGUAGACGGCGACGCAAGUCUGGAGUGAAAGCCCGGGGCCCAACCCCGGGACUGCUCUGGAAACUGCGUCGCUGGAGUACGGGAGGGGCAGGCGGAAUUCCUGGUGUAGCGGUGAAAUGCGUAGAUAUCAGGAGGAACACCGGCGGCGAAGGCGGCCUGCUGGACCGUGACUGACGUUGAGGCUCGAGAGCGUGGGGAGCAAACAGGAUUAGAUACCCUUGUAAG
rnacentral:rRNA from 1 species